GUCGAACGAGCGAGAGAGAGCUUGCUUUCUCGAGCGAGUGGCGAACGGGUGAGUAACGCGUGAGGAACCUGCCUCAAAGAGGGGGACAACAGUUGGAAACGACUGCUAAUACCGCAUAAGCCCACGGCUCGGCAUCGAGCAGAGGGAAAAGGAGCAAUCCGCUUUGAGAUGGCCUCGCGUCCGAUUAGCUAGUUGGUGAGGUAACGGCCCACCAAGGCAACGAUCGGUAGCCGGACUGAGAGGUUGAACGGCCACAUUGGGACUGAGACACGGCCCAGACUCCUACGGGAGGCAGCAGUGGGGAAUAUUGCACAAUGGGGGAAACCCUGAUGCAGCGACGCCGCGUGGAGGAAGAAGGUCUUCGGAUUGUAAACUCCUGUUGUUGGGGAAGAUAAUGACGGUACCCAACAAGGAAGUGACGGCUAACUACGUGCCAGCAGCCGCGGUAAAACGUAGGUCACAAGCGUUGUCCGGAAUUACUGGGUGUAAAGGGAGCGCAGGCGGGAAGACAAGUUGGAAGUGAAAUCUAUGGGCUCAACCCAUAAACUGCUUUCAAAACUGUUUUUCUUGAGUAGUGCAGAGGUAGGCGGAAUUCCCGGUGUAGCGGUGGAAUGCGUAGAUAUCGGGAGGAACACCAGUGGCGAAGGCGGCCUACUGGGCACCAACUGACGCUGAGGCUCGAAAGUGUGGGUAGCAAACAGGAUUAGAUACCCUGGUAGUCCACACCGUAAACGAUGAUUACUAGGUGUUGGAGGAUUGACCCCUUCAGUGCCGCAGUUAACACAAUAAGUAAUCCACCUGGGGAGUACGACCGCAAGGUUGCAACUCAAAGGAAUUG
rnacentral:rRNA from 1 species